rnacentral:tRNA from 1 species
CGGAGUGUAGCUCAGCUUGGUAGAGCACCACGUUCGGGACGUGGGGGCCGGAGGUUCGAAUCCUCUCACUCCGACCA